GGGACCUUAAAGCCAGUCUCUGAUGUUAACACAAUCUCCAACUCAAGAUAACUUCAAAGAUGUUACUACUUCCUUCUUAGUAGUAGAUGGACUGCUACUACCAAGACUGGACAGACUCCCUAGCUGCUGCUGUGCCCAAGAACCACUGCUGAUUCAUCUCCUGGUGACUGCACAUAGAGGGCAUAUUUGGGUUGGAGAAUUACCACAACACUUUCUACUGAACAAUGGAUUUGGAAAUGGAAAUGGAAAUGGAAAUAAAUAAUGAUAUCUACUUUAACAACCAUA
ensembl:lincRNA 1700034K08Rik RIKEN cDNA 1700034K08 gene